rnacentral:rRNA from 1 species
CCCCUAGAUGUUCUGGGCCGCACGCGCGCUACACUGAUCAGUGCAACAAGCAUCCGUCCUUGGCCGACAGGCCCGGGCAAUCUUUGAACGCUGAUCGUGAUGGGGAUAGACUUUUGCAAUUUUUGGUCUUCAACGAGGAAUUCCUAGUAAACGCAAGUCAUCAACUUGCAUUGAUUACGUCCCUGCCCUUUGUACACACCGCCCGUCGCACCUACCGAUUGAAUGGUCCGGUGAAGCCUCCGGAUUGGCGUGCACCCUCGGGUGCUGCCGAGAAGUUGGCUAAACCUUACCAUUUAGAGGAAGGUGAAGUCGUANCA